rnacentral:ribozyme from 2 species
UUACUAAUGCAGCCAAACGAAACGACAGUUCCAAGCCUGUGAAAAUGCAGAGGAGUAA